rnacentral:rRNA from 1 species
UACGUAGGGGCCUAGCGUUGUCCGGAAUUAUUGGGCGUAAAGAGCUCGUAGGCGGUUCGGCAAGUCGGAUGUGAAAUCUCCACGCUUAACGUGGAGGGGCCAUUCGAAACUGCUGUGACUCGAGUCCGGUAGGGGAGUGUGGAAUUCCCGGUGUAGCGGUGAAAUGCGCAGAUAUCGGGAGGAACACCAGUAGCGAAGGCGGCACUCUGGGCCGGACCUGACGCUGAGACGCGAAGGCGUGGGGAGCGAACGGG